GGAAGGUUGCCUGAGCGGCCGAAAGGGAUGCCUUGGAAAGGCAUUGUGGCUUCAUUGUCACCAUGGGUUCGAAUCCCAUACCUUCCUCCG
rnacentral:tRNA from 2 species